CACCCAAAUGUGUGGUCACGCACGACUGAUUUAGUCAGUCGGUUUCAUUCGAAUAGGAUAUUCGCCAAGGCCUAUUUGUAAAAUUUUUAUUCAAUAAAAUAAAAAGGCCGAAGUAUCUCAAAUUCUGAGAUAAAACAAAUGCUUUUGAAAGCAUCUUUGGUGUUGAGCAACGCUGAUAACACGCAGUUACAUAGUCACAGAAGUUGGUACUUGUGCAGCUGCAGUCCACGUGCACUAAAAAGCUGAAGUUCCUGGUUGUGAAUACCCAAGACGAAGCUGAAGGUAAGAUAAACGAGCAUAAAUGCAAAAGCACCUAAAAAAUAAAUUACGAACUAAAACGUUUGCAUGUGACAGGACCUCAGCUGACCGACCGACGACACGUCUGCACUCAGCACGAUUUGACCGUGUUAUGUCUUGCCCAUGCGCAAAGGAAAGACGGGAGUGAAAAUGAAAGUAGAUCCAAAAGCACAUGUGUAAACACGGGGGAGCAAUUAUUAUUUUAGCUGUUCACGAAUAAAAGUGACAAUAGAUAAGUACAGUUGUUGGCGAAUUGUAAAAUUAAAUCGUUUUAUAUUGCUUUAGAGUGUCAGCAGUAUGAACAUCGAUAUUUCGAACAAUGCAAGUUAUUGUGACGAUGAAGAAACCGAGCACCUGGAGCACAACAUCAUAAACAUGAUACUAAUCAAAUAAAUGAGAUCAUGAACGAGAUGCUAUAUUUGGAUCUUCUGGUUAUAAGGAUGAUGACAAUGGUGAAAGUGAUGAAGAAGAGACGGUCGGCUGGGGGGCGAUGAAUAUAAGAUGUGGAAAGAUAUAUCAAGGAAUACUGAUGAAUAUGACAAGAUGGAGGUGGAUACCCUUUCAGAUAGAUGAUUUAUUGUUGGAGAGAGGGAAAUAUUGGACCUGCUUAAAAGGAGCAUGUUUCAAAGAGUGAGGUGGACCA